rnacentral:rRNA from 1 species
UGGGGAAUCUUGCACAAUGGGCGCAAGCCUGAUGCAGCAACGCCGCGUGCGGGAAGAAGGCCCUAGGGUUGUAAACUGCUUUUGCGUGGGACGAUAACGACGGUACCACGCGAAUCAGCCCCGGCUAACUCUGUGCCAGCAGCCGCGGUAAUACAGAGGGGGCAAGCGUUGUCCGGACUUACUGGGCGUAAAGCGCACGCAGGUGGUAACGCAAGUGGGGUGUGAAAGCCGCCAGCUUAACUGGCGGAGGCCAUCCCAAACUGCGUCACUUGAGGCCUGUAGAGGUAUGUGGAAUUGCCGGUGUAGUGGUGAAAUGCGUAGAGAUCGGCAGGAACACCCAGGGGGAAACCAGCAUACUGGACAGGUCCUGACACUCAGGUGCGACAGCGUGGGGAGCGAACCGGAUUAGAUACCCGCGUAGUCC